rnacentral:piRNA from 1 species
UGCAGUGAGAUGCUCAUCUUUGCAGUCUGGU